CUUAUUUCCCUGCAGGUGCUGAGAGUACUGAGGCCAGCCAGGUAGGAAUCAUCCUUCUAAGUGUGUGUGGCAAAGGCAAGCUUUGAGAAAUUAGGUCCACAUGGCAGCUGAGCACACAUCACAGAGAUUAUCUGGCUGGGGGCAAUGAAAUCUGCCUUCACAUUCACAAAAGAGGUCAAGCAAACUCCAGGGAAGAGGAAAGAGAGAGAAGGAAAAGCUUAAAUAUUAGUGCGACAUUUUCCAGAUUUGAUGUAAAAGCCUGGAGAUACAUUGUCUGUGAAGGUAGGCAGGUUUAUUAUAUUGUCUGCUAAAAUACAUUGAUGAUGAGUGCAUACAGUUUAAAUUGGUUUUCUCUCUAACUACAGUAGUGGCUAGAAAAAAAUCAGCUUUCAUUUUUAUAGGAUACAUAAUGGAUAUGUGGAAAGUCUUGAUAUUUAUUACUCUAUAUGAGGAUUCUUUGUAAAUUUAUUGUUUUCAUGAUGAGAGAUCUGUAUCUGUUUUUCUUCCUUGUCUAGAAAAUGAUUCAAUGGGUUCUUCCUCCAUGUGUUCCAUUCUUGUGGCUAAACUGCAUCUGUUUUUUCCAAGAUUUUAUGUUGUUCCAUUUGUAAUAGUGAAAUUUUAAAAAGAGGGUCCUGUGCACCAUAGGUCUUCUAAGAGUUUUUUUCCUUCUUCUUCUGGCAUAAAUGUAAAGCAUUAGGAGGAAAUUUCUCUAAGUGCCUCAACAUGGCUGCUAAAUCAAGAUGCUGAAAGUAUAUUAUUGCAUGCAUGAAUGGCUUUUACCUUAUAGAUUUGCUAAUUAGAAGUACUGGAGUACCUGAUGUGGAUGCACAUUUCUCGCUUGUUUUCAAAAUUCAAGGUUUCUAUCCAGUUGGUUGAAAAAAUAAUGUGUUACAGAAAAAAAGAGGCUCAAUUUGAAAAUUUGCCCCUUCAUUUCCAAGUUGGAUUUCUUUUUGUGCAUGCUGUAUCUUUUCUUCUGACAAUGCUAUUGCUACUUAUCUAUGCAGAAUAUCAAAAAUACAGUCUAAUGAUCCUAUUGAAAGUUAAUGCAUACAAUAAUACAUUGAACAUGAAAUAUCAUAAUAGCAUUAAGAAGUGAAGAGAGCUACCAGGAUGAUGCCUCAUUAUCAAUGUAGUUCAUUAACAAUAUGCUGCUUCACGUCUGAUUGUCAGUGUCUUACUUUGGGAUGAGCAGUGGCAGGUUUUGGUCCCUAAUACCUCUUCCACUCAUAGUUCAUGUACAUCUUCUCCUACCUCCACAUUCAGAAGGGAAAAAGAAGAUUGUUGUUCUCCUGUCUGAGCAUGGGAUGUCUGCUGUAGGGGAGAAUGAGGAGCUCCUUGGGUUCUUGGAUGGUGCUGCUUGGAUCCCCAUUGCCUGAAAGAAGCACCCCAACACCUUGCGCACAUAUGGACACCAACCUUCCAAGGCUUAAAUUGAAAUAUUUACAGCUGAGAUCUGAAGCUCACUCUGGGUGUCCUGGCUGCAGGACAGUGGGACCAUGAAAAGCCAAGGCUCUCUGGCGCUAUUGAACCUUUAGCACAGUGAGGUAAUUCACAGUGAUCUGAGAUCUCAGCUGCUGGCACCAGGGCUUUAGGCUGGGCUGGCCCUGGCCCUGUGGAGGGAAGAAGCUUUCUGGUCAGUGGCACAGGGAUGAUGGGAACUGUUGCAUCUCCCCAUUCCUGUGCCCAUUGCCACAUCUUGCUGGAGACCAAAGAGCAUGAGAGGGGAAGGAUGCUUUUGGCACCUGAGGCUCAGUCUCCAGGAUUUGCCCAUGCACUUCUUAUUUCCACGAGCACAGGUAGCUCAGGGUGCUGGGGAGACCCUGAAGGGCAGGGGAGAAGCCAGCCAUGUGGAAGGAAAGAUGGAAGACCAAAUUCACAUUAAGGAGCAAGGUAAGCAAGGAAGUAAGAUAAAUUCCAACUCAUCUUUUGUUCUGUAGGGCAUCCUUGUCUCUUCCUCCUAAGUGCAAAAACAAGUUGUCCCUUCCUCACAUACCUCUUUGCUCAGCAGGCCACCUCUCCAUGCUGCUCACAGCAACUGGGCCCUAUUUUUCAUUUAGAAAAUGCAGUUUUUCUUUUCAAGGGAGAGGAGACAGUGCUGAGAAAUACAUCCCUGGAGCCUCACCAGUGACUGUAAGUAUCAGUUUCAGCUGUCUAAGCACACCAACUGUUCCCCAGACUGUUCCUUCUGCCUGAUACAAAACAAAGCCUAAUGAGGAAAAUUGAAAACGUUUUCUAGGUGGUUUACAUUAGCUUGAAUAGUCUGGCAACAUCUUAAUGUGAUGCCUAACCCUUUUCAUCAGUCAUUUCCCAGGAGUCAACCGGAAGAGCUGUUAAUGUGCUGUGGCAUCUAUGUUAAUAGGAUUUGCCAUAACACUAGGGAUUUAGUUCAAAUUGAAGUUGGUUUCUUGGAUUUUUUUUCCUCUGGAGCCUAUGUAAUGGCCCUAGUUGUGCAGGAAUAGGUUUGUUGCUUUUGUUGGUUUGGGUUUUUUUUUGGGUGGAGUGGGCAGUCAGCAGCUAAGACAUUGCCCAGAGCUCUGGGACUGAAGGACCUGGCACCUCCUUCCCUAGCUCCAGCUGCAGAUCCAGCAAACUCACUGCACUAACAAUCCUGAUUUUCUUAGCAGAGUUUCCUACCACAGGACAAAUAAAGCAGUUUGGAAACACCUUCUGGCUGACUUCUAAGACACAGACCUGCAGCUUUUUUCCUCUUGGGCACUGUGCCUCAAAUAAUGUAAUGCAAAAGCAAAAUAACAGUCCUGCUUCAUAUCUCUGUUAUUCCAGGUUUUCAUUGCUCUGAUAGCAUAAACUUCAACAUAAUUACACUGGCCCAUAUAAGAUCAGGAAGCAGCAUGUUUCUUUCUAAAGCUUAUCACAACAAUGCUACAGGAUUUCUGUCCAUCUCCCUGGCAUUAUUUUGUUGCUUAAACAAGGCAAUUUGGCUUCUUCUACUGUGGUGGUGAAACAAAUCUCAUUCUUUUGUAAUGGAUAUGUACUUGCUAAUCUCUCCCAUUACAUUCCCAGUACUGCCUUUUCCAGUUAUAAUUCACUAUAGGCUUGGAGUGGACAAAGAAACAUGCUGUGUCAUUAGAACUUGUUCCUGAUAUCUAGUCCAAGCACUCACUGUAUGGCCUUAUGGUCUUAUGAAUGAAAAUUUGUCCUCUCUUCCCCACUCACCAGUGCUGACAGUAAAAACCUUUUUCACCAUCAAGAGAAAAUAAUCCCACUAUUUCUGAAGUUAGGUAUUUUCCACUGCUGUUGUGUUAAUAGUGAGGCUGUCAUAGCCUUGCUAGGGACUCUACCAAAUAUACAGCAGUUUACUUGCUGUUCACUUAAAACAGAAAUACAGAAAAAAGUGAUUGAAGUCAGAUCCAGAGCCAUACUUCAUAACUGUAUCAUACUCAUUCAACCAAAUGGCAGGUCACAUCACCUUUGUGUCUGGAGAUGUUUCAGAUUUGACAUCCAUGACUAAACCAAGAGGUUUCAGAAGUUGGUCUUCUUGUUAGCACAUGCUUCCUUUUGCCCUAGUGGGAUCUGGUUUCCCAUCUGCACUCUUGUAUCAGUUAUGAGCACUGCUGUUUUAAAACAUAUCUCACUUUUUCUUCCCUCUGUUGCUCUUUCCCUGAUACAUAUGGAAUUAUUCUUUUUUUUUUUCUUUUUUUUUUUUUUUUUUUGGUCUGGGAUAAGGAUUAUUAUCUUGUACAAGAUGAACAAUCACAAUAAAGUCAUUCAGCUGGAGUUGAUGGCAAUAUCCUCUGGAUGUGCAGGGGAAAAAAAAGCACACUCGAAAAAGGUACCCAGUUUUCACUGUAACACUUCUUUCAGUUUGGUUCCUGUAAUACUUUCUUUGUCUACAUUUUGUGGAGGGAAUGGGUUCCAUGCCUGCAGUGUCCUUGGCUUUCCUCUUGUCAUAUCACUUGCUCUGUGAUUUCAAAUAAAUGUUGGAAGAGAAGAAAAAAAAAAAAGAUUUCCCAUCAUUUCCAUAUUUAAGAUGAAAGAAUAAAUUUAUAGGUUGUAAAUUACUUUAUUCUUUAGGAACUUUCCUUCUGUUUAUGUGCAAUAAUGUUUGUGAAUUCUGCUACUGAGAGAUUGUAUUGUGAGUAAUCAUAUAUACUUCCAUUCCUAUUUAAAAGAUAGUUUGUAGACCUAGGGAUUUUCAUUGGCAUAAAGCACAAUUUAAUGAAUUAUUUAAUGUGUUUAACCAUUGUGAUGUCAAAAGCAAUUGUUUUCAUAUAUUUAUUUGUUGGUGAUUUUCUGUAAAAUGAUGCUCAUUAAGAAUCUGUUAAAAAUGAAGUUUUGUUGAAUAUUGUUGGGUCCAUGAAUUACUUAUGAGAACAAAUAAACAUUGACUGUGUUUUUGAAACA
rnacentral:lncRNA from 1 species